rnacentral:tRNA from 1 species
GCCUGGGUGGCUCAGUGGUUGAGCAUCUGCCUUUGGCUUAGGUCAUGAUCCUGGAGACCCGGGAUCGAGUCCCACCUCGGGCU